UCGAGAAUCCUUCGCAAUGGGCGAAAGCCUGACGGUGCGACGCCGCGUGGAGGAUGAAGGUCCUAGGAUUGUAAACUCCUGUCAUCAGGGAGUAAAGCUCAGGUGUUAAUAGCGCCUUGAGCCUGAUAGUACCUGAAGCGGCAGGGGCGGCUAACUCCGUGCCAGCAGCCGCGGUAACACGGAGGCCUCACGCGUUGUUCGGAAUUACUGGGCGUAAAGGGUGCGUAGGCGGCGAGGGAAGUCAGAUGUGA
rnacentral:rRNA from 1 species